rnacentral:tRNA from 1 species
UUCGGCGUCGGCGGGCGCACCUUGAUCGCCCCGCGCAUCACCAGCGUGCGGGAGGCGGCGCGCUCGGUGGCCAUCGGUGCGGUGCGGAUCGUCGGCUCC